AAUUAUGUAAAGUGUGGUUUAUGCUUCUUGUGGGUGAGGCAUCAUGUCUUAACACUCAGUUUUGGAACGAUCUUUAGGGAGACGGCUGUAGGAGAAGGUAAGAAUAAUAAUCCUGAAGUUCGAAAACCAGACCCAAUUCAUCGUGAUGAUGGGAUCGACUCUGGAACUCUCCCAGGAUGGGACAGCUAAGUUCACAUGCCAUACCAUGUGUGACCACAGUCACCUCCUGACGUGUUAUCACAUUUCAGGGCCUAUACUCUGGCCCACAGGGCAGAUCCAACAUUUGAAUCCCUUCUUGGUCAUGCAAGACACCCAUUCUUCCUGUGGAAUCUUGCUCAUGGUCAAAGGGGAAACGAAUGAUCACCAGUGAUUUCAUUCAGUCUUUUGACUUUGCACCUGUAAGGACCCAGCAUUCCUCCCCUCUGGAGGGUCGGCAACAAGGCACCACUUUGGAAGAAGAAAGCAACUCUCACCAGACAAUUGAAACUCGCAGUGCUCUGAUCUUGGAUUUCCCAGCCUCCAUAUCCAUGAGAAAAUAAAUUUGUUUUAUAAAUUA